CUGCUGAAAAGGAACUAAAAAUACCGCCUCUGCAUAUUAAGGAAACAACUGAGGUGAGAUGGAUAAACUUGAUUGCUUGGGAACAGAGCAGGAUUUGGGUAAGAGGCAAGUACACUUCAUAUGCUUUCUUCUUCAAAAGUUUGAUAUCCUGCGAGCACGACCUUCACCUGCUCCAAAAAAAGGGAGUGAUAGUGAAUAAUAUGCCCAAUAAAAGCAAGGAAGAACUUAUGACGAUGUUUCGCACAAUCUGUGCUGGUGCUGAACACAUGGAUUCGAGUUAUAGCGAACACUGUGAGAAACUUAAUAAGGAGAAACGACCUACAUUAGUCACGGAAGCGUUCUGCAAAUGGCCUAUAAUCACUGGGCAUAACUGCAGGCAUCUUCUUGAGAAUGUUGUGUACUAUGGGCGAAAUGGCUUCAGGAUUUUGAUACGCGAUCAUAUCCCUACUGUGUGGAAAUUCAUUGCCGUUGUCGCGGCCACUUUGGUGGUGGUUCUCACUAUUAUGCAGACAGUUUAUUCAGCUAAGCAGACGCAUUAUGCAGCUAAAGGCCAUUAGACAUCAGCUAGAAAAAAUUGCUAAUUCUAUCUCUCUCUUGUUUGUUCAAGUUUAAAAUUGAAUGCACAAUUGUGAUGUAGGAGCUUGUAUGUGUUCAUGGAAUAGAUUUGGAAUCAUGUUGAACAUUGCAGUAGUUUUGCCACCUUGUGAAUUUGGAUUAGUGUUUGCAGCACAUUUCAGAAUCAAUAAUUGGUUUAGGGUUUGAGAUUAAUGAACCGGAAUUACCAAAAAUAUUUUAGAAUUAUCAGUGUUAUAAUAUAGAUGAUGUAAAAUCCCUACAAUACCCUUAUUCAUCUUUUUCCCAAACAAAACCCUAACCCUAAUUUCCUAAAUUCCUAUUUAUGGGAUCAAUUGUUGUAAGAAUCUACUUAUCACACUUUUCGUCAUAUAUAUUGUCCUUCCC
rnacentral:lncRNA from 1 species